rnacentral:misc_RNA from 1 species
GAUGAAGAACGCAGCGAAAUGCGAUAAGUAGGGUGAAUUGCAGAAUUCAGUGAAUCAUCGAAUCUUUGAACGCACAUUGCGCCCCUCGGUAUUCCGUGGGGCAUGCCUGUUCGAGCGUCAUUUACCCCUCAAGCACUGCUUGGUGUUGGGCGUCUGUCCCGCUUCGCGCGCGGACUCGCCCCAAAGGUAUUGGCAGCGGUCGUGCCAGCUUCUCGCGCAGCACAUUGCGCUUCUCGAGGCGGUCGAUCGGCGUCCACGAAGCUCACCUCCACCGUUUGACCUCGGAUCAGGUAGGGAUACCCGCUGAACUUAAGCAUAUCAAUAGCGGAGGA